UGUUCUGUGGCUUAGUUAGUUAAAGCGCCGGUCUAGCGAAUACGGAGUUGUGGGUCCGAACCCCAUCAGAACGC
rnacentral:tRNA from 1 species